UGUCUAUAUUUUAUAAUAAACUAUCAAAUUGAAAAUAUUAUGAAAAUUAACCUAUAUUUCUUUUUUAUCCAGGAGAAUGUUGCUUCUAUGCAUAGAAGAAAACAUGAAGCACCAUUCGAAGAUGGGCGAUUUGUAGCAACGCACCACUUCCAUGUCAUCUGAGAAAGGUGAGUAUUGAGGUGAUGACAUCGAGGCAACUAGUCAACUGAGGUGUGGCAUGAGAGGGACACGAGCUGAUGGUUGAGUUUAUUUACAAAGGUUUUUGUUUUUUUAGUUGUGCACACAUACUAGGAUGUUUAUUUUAUGAUUUGGAAGGUUUAUUUUAUUUGAUAUUUAGUCAUAUUUCACACUUUGAUUUUAAUAAAGGAUAUUUCUACUAAAUUUUUCUAUGCAUAUUGAAUGAUUACUUAAUGUGUAUGACAUAAUUGCCCUAAUUGAAUAACAUUUUCAUUAAAGAGCAUGACCUCUGAUGUGGGAUGCAACAAAUCCCAUCCAUAACUUUUUAUAAAUUGUACUAAUAAUUAUUUAUCGCUAAUUUUAUGUAUUUAUCAUUAUAGCAAUUACCCCACAAGUUUCAUUCUCGGGUGGUGAAGAAGUAAAUUGUAGUGUUGUUACUUUAUUAUAAUGUUUGUUAUUUCUAAUAAAUGUUGUGUACAUUUCCAACAUGCCGACUCUUUCUUGGCAUUCUUGUUACAUCGUUAGCAAUUUAGAGUGGCCAAAAUUUGUUAAAAUUCAAUGACAAUCAGCACUUUUUUUUGUUGAAUAUCUCAUUUUCACCAUAGGACAUGUUCUUAUCCAAUGGCUUGGCUUAUGUAUGGUCUUCUCUCUUCCCAAAUUUGAUACAGGGGACCAUUAAGGAUGAGCAUUACAAGGCAUGGAGUGUUGUAGAUAAGGUGUACGUUUCAGUCAACUUUAACAAUGAACAUUGGAUUUGUGGCAAAGUUGACUUACUCUAAUGAUUGAUUGUUGUGUACGACUCUAUGAAAAGUUACAUGAAGGAUCCAAAAAGGUUUCGUGAUAAGAUGUCUUAAUACAGGAUAAAGAUCCCACAUUUUCUUGGAGAUAUGUGUAUUCGUUUACCACUUGUAUACAUUUAUAUGUAUAUUGUAUUUGUGUAUAUGUAUA